GUGCUCACUUCAGCAACACAUAUACUAAUGUUGGAAUGAUACAGAGAUUAGCAUGGCCCCUGCAUGAGAAUAGCAUGCAAAUUCAUGAAGUGUUUUACAUGUUU
ensembl:snRNA U6 U6 spliceosomal RNA